rnacentral:lncRNA from 1 species
UUAGAUCUCUAAAACGGGGUUGACUCUGAUACGAUUUUUGCCGCAAGAUCUACCCUAUUACUUUUAUAAUAAAUAUGAAAAGAUUAUAGAGUUAUAUUCUAGUAAUUGUUGUAAAAUCGUAACCUAGAAGAGGAAAACAAAUAGAAUAAUUAAAACAGGGAACCAAGAUAUAUCAAAUAUGAUCCAAGAAGUAUGAGUAUAAUCGCAGAUUUUGAAUGUAAAAACGAACUUAAAUUGCAUAACUUACUGAUUACAAAUACAGAGACUUGCAAAUCUCUUCCACUCAGAAGGAUAAUAAGAAGGUAAAGAAGAUAGAUUACAAUCACACAUUCUAAAAAGAAGUCAUAUGGAAGUUACCGACUUUGAUGGUGUACAAGUGUCGAUGACUGUAAAAGCCUAACCUACUGUCUACAGAAUGAAAGAAGAAGGUGAGAAGAAAAGAGAGAAGAGAGAGAGAAUAUGAGAGAGCAGAGAGAAUAUGAAGAACUAUGAGAGCUUGCUUCUUGAUAAAGCUUGUUGCUUCCUUGAUGCAGUCUGCCUUCUUCUGUUGGCAGAAUGGUAUUUAUAGAGGAUCGCCGGAGGAGAGCAUGUGGCUGGGAUUGAUUGCUUGGUGACGAAGGAAACUGUAGUGGCUGAUAUUCGUUUGCUUGACGACGAAGGAAUGCGAAGAUAAGAUUCUUGCUCAAGAGGGGUACGUGGUAGGUGCAGAAGAUAGCUGGAUGUCGGUGAUGGUGACAGAUGGUGACAUGGCGAAUCUUAGGUGGUCUGUGUGAGCGGUACGUGAGAACAACAACGAAGGAGGAGGAGACACGUCAGGCGGGUGAUUUGACCCGAAAUUAGUCACAUCGGUCAAGAGAAUCUUUACUGUUGCAGAUGUUUGUCGCUUUAUGUAAGGGAAAUAUUUUUGUCGCAUCAUUUGCUAGUGGGAUCUUAUCUGAUAGUUGAAGAAGGAAUCUUUACUGUGCAUGAUAUGACUCUUAUUUAGUCAAAUCAGCUAAAGAGGAAUAUUUGCUGUAGCUUGUCGUAUUCUGUAUGCAAAGUAAUGAACAAGACGAAUUUUUGCAGCGAAAAUGUCGUCUUUGGAUGAGAUGAUAUUGGGCCGAGCUACUCAUCGGGUCUCUGGCUAAAAUUGUCUAGCAAAGGAUUGCCAGAUUGUACUGUCUCUUCUGAUGUAGCUGGUGUAGUAGUAUCAGGGGCAAAUAUUUUGAAUAAAUUUUGCUCUAUUUCUUCUAAUGUAGCAUUAGGAUGUGAUUGCUUUAUUUUUUUUCAGAUAGGACGAAAAAGUGGGUAAACUGACUGUAUUAUAUACUGGUGGGCUUAAUACAUUGGUUUGCGGGGGUAUUCGUUUCAAGGAUAAGGAGGCAGGAUCAGUACUGAAGAUGUCCCACCAUUUGAUUUUUAGGGUUUUGCCAAGCUUGGGAAUAUACUCAUAAUUGUUAGUAUUAUUUUCAGAAAUAGAGUAAUCCCAUUUGAGAAUCCAGGGUAUCUGAUAGAUUGCCAUGAAAUAAAGAUGAAAAUCUUCUAGGUCGGUACAAGUAUUAUAUUGUGUAAAUUUAGUUUGGAAUGCCUGAAAUUUAUUAGGUAGAAUUUGAGUCUGUGAUCCCUAUAGUAAGAACCAAUGACGAAACCAAUUUGGGAAUCUUUCAAGGAUGGGAAGUUUGAUCUGUAAAUACCAGGAAUGAGUAUUAUUGGGAUUCUGGUAAAAGAACACUUUUUGCCAUACAUCGAUAUAUUCAGCAUAUUUAUAGUAUUUAUAUUGGAAUUCAGGGUUUAAUAAUUUUUUCCCUUGAAGGGGAUUGCAUCCCCAAUCAUCAUAAGAAAGUAGUUUUUUAAUUUGAAAUUUAGAAUAGGUAUAUACUUUAGUUGUGCCUUGGUAGAAAUGGACUAUUGAAACCGAACCGGUUUCCAUGAGAAUGGCUUCAUGCCAUUCACGAGUUUUGAUUCCAUAUGAAGGAUUUAGAUGGUUGAUAAGAUCAAGGGGAGCUAUUUUAUUUGCGUCACGUUGUGCAUGAGUAUCAGAAAUAGGUAUGUCUGAGAGGAAGGCUGUGUCUACAUAGACUGAUUUGGCAGAAGUAAAUGGUUGUUUAUUUGGAUAUGUUGCCGGGAAAAACGCCGGACUUGGAGUUUGUAUUGGACUUUGAGGAAGAGUUUGUAACAAGUAUUCAGGUACAUUUGAAGAUCUGAAAGGUGACAUAGGUGUCAGGUUUAAAGAAGAAUGGAUGGGCAUAAGAGGCCCAAACAUAUUGCUAGGUACUAUUUCCAUAGGUUGUUUUCCUUUUUUGGUAUUUGAAGACUGAGGAUUAUUCAUAUUGUUAUGCUUAUUAUCAAGAAAGAGUUGCAAACCGUAGGAGGAAAAGCCGUUGGAUGAGAUUGUAUCGUCCUUAGUGUGCUGUCGAUAUGUACGGUCCCGCCUGCAAAAAUUCACGGGUUAAAAAGUCAGGUAAAGAAGUAGUAGAACCGUGAAGAUGCUCAAUAGAAAAAUCAAAAGCAGAUGAAAUAGCUUGCCAUCGGGCAAAUAUUUGCUUAGAGACGAGAUUUUGAACAUCUUUUUGCAGAAUAUCUUUGGCUGCUUUACAAUCGGUGCGAAUAAGAAAGUGUUGGUUUAAAAUAUCAGUUUGAAAUUUACAAACACAAUGAAUAAUAGCAAGUAAUUCUUUUUUGACAGUAGAAUAAUUCUUUUGGGUUGGAUUCCAAGCUUUGGAAGUAAAUCGUAUUAAUUGUUCUUUAGAAUUAAUAGAUUGUUUUAAUAUACCACCGAGUCCUAAUUCAGAAGCAUCGCAUGCAAUGAUUUUAGAAGCUAUUGGGUCAGAUAAAGUUAAACAUGGAAGUUCUUUGGCCUUAAGUUUAAGUCGUUGUACAGCCAAGGUAUGAACAUCCGUCCAAGGUGGAGGAUUCUUCUUUAAUCAGUCAUAUAAAGGUUAAGCAUCAAGAGCUAGAUUUUGGUAAAAAUCACUUGUAUAAUUGAGACAUCCUAAAAUCGUUGUAAUUCAGUUGUCUAAAAUUUUGUCAGGAAAUUUAUCAGCAAAGAGAAUAGAUCUAUCAAUUGGGAUAAUGGUCCUUUGAUUAAUAUUGUCCUAAAAAUCUAAUUUUUGUUUGAAAAAGAUUUAUCUUUUUAGCAGAAACUACUAAUCCAGCAUUUUUAUUGAAAACCAACUACAAAAUUGGAACAUACCUAAAGUCCCAAUAUCAGAUGUUUACAAGAACGGCACAUUCGAUUUAAAAAUCGGAUAUGCUAUUAAAACAGUAGAAGAAACUUUAUCUUUUGCAAAUAAUCAAGAAGACUUUCAAUUACUAUCUCAGAAGAUAUUACAAGUCGAUAAAACAAAAAAUUAUAAAUAUUUACAUAUAGGAUUAAUUCAAAUAACUGUAAAACCCUUAACUCGUUUAGGACUAAAUAAUUCUAUCUUAGUCUGUCUACGUGAUACUAGGCAUAAUAGAUUUUCUGAUUCACUACUAGGUAUGGUUGAAACCAGUUUAUGUUGUGGACCUAUAUAUUUCAACUGUUUUCCAAAUUAUUCUGUAUCUCUUACAGAUCCAAAUAUUCUAAAUGUUUUAUCUUUAAAUCUUAAAACUCAAGGAUUUAAUAUGAUGACAGGUUCUCCAAAUAUAGCCAUUGUUUAUCGAAUCUAUUACAAAGUAAUGACUACAUUAUGUCCAAAUGUACUCCAAAUAGAUACGAGAGGACAAACAAUAUUUUUUCAAACCAAUAUGGAAAAAUCAAAUACAAUUGUACCAAAAACAAUAUCAUGGUCAGAUAUUGCUCUACCCCAAACAUGGUCUAUCCAUAAUGAAAACCAACCAUCACAAAAUCCCACUCAAAAUAUUCCAGACAAAAUUAUUGAAUAUACAGACGAAAAUAUUGAAAUACAGUUCACCACAAAUAAUAGAAUUAUGGAUAAUGCAUCCAUCUCAUGUACUUCAAGUACUCAUUCUUUUCGAGAACCAGAACCUCCAAGAAAAUCCAUUACUACUUAUAAUCGAAUUCCUCCUAUCAUAAAUAUUCCUCCUAUCAUAAAUAUUCCAUCAACACCAAAACCACAAAUUGAUGGACUCCUACGAACGUCUGAUAAUAUCAUUAUUCCCCAAUAUAGAGAAGCUCAAGAAGAGCCUGCUGAAGCAGAGUUCAUUCAAGUAUUACAACUUGAAGAAACAUUGGAUAAAGAAUACAUCAUAAAAGAUUUUUUAUCUCCAGAAAAUAAAAACAUCAGAGAAUGGUAUGUAAAAGAGUUUGAACCUAGAUUAGUAGAAUUGUUUCACAAACGAUUUAACAAAUGGAGAAAAAAGAGAAAUAAAGGAACAUGUUUUUUCGAUUGGCUAAGAGACACCUUAAGCCAACAUAAUAUCCCUAUUCCUGAUUUUGAAAUAAAUACACUAGAAACUCAAUAUACAGUAUUUAAUACUACUGAAGGAAAUACAAUUAAAGCCAUACAUCCUCCUGAACAAAGCUUGAAAAUACAAGGAGUUGCUAUUAUGGUGGUCUCAGCUACUAAAACUCCUGCUACUCCAGAACAAAAUAUAGGAUCCUCAUCUUCAACCCAAAUGGUUGUGUAUGAAACAGUAGCUACACCAUAUAAACUCAAUAAUGCAAAUAUAGCUCGUAUAGAAUUGCUUCCCCAUAUAAUUGAACAAAAUAAUUAUACAAAUCUCUGCCUCCAUACAUAUGGACAACAAACUAAUAGAAUAGAAAACUUAUUACAUCCUCCCAUUUUCAAGGAGAAAAAACAGUUAUUUUUUAAACCUCCUCUUGACUUGAAUAAAGAAAAAUUUCUUAUAGGAGAUGAUAAUAAAACACUUAUGGAUCAAUUAAUCUCCAAAUUAUCCAAAUUAGAAAUAAAAGAUCCCAAACAAACAAUUGUUUUACCAGACAAUGAUAAAGGAAGAGCAAAAAUCCUUGAGCAUGAUAAUAUGACUCUACAAGAAGAAAUACUUUUCCAAAUCAAUAAAACCAUGGAACCACCAAUUGCCAACACAAUAAAAAAUAUGCAAACAGCGUUUUCUGAAAUUCAAAUUACUCCAGAUACUAUAAAUCGAAUCAAUUACAGUAAAAAUUGGCAACCAAUAAAUGCCCGACCAUAUUAUAAAAGACCAUCCCCAGUUGAUAUCCAAUUAGAAGAAGACCUAACAAGUCAUACUUCUACAUAUACAGGUCGAACGAUUAUAGAUUGGAAUAUUGAUGGAAUCUCUGAUCAUUGAAUAUUAGAUACAAUGAAACACCUGACUAUGUAUGCUUCGGGAUGUAAAAUGGCUGGUAGCCAUGACCAAGAAAUAGCAAAAGCAAUAGUGUCAGGAUUCACCGGAUGGUUAAAAGGAUGGUGGGAUUCUUAUCUCAAUGAACAAACAAAACAACAAAUAUUAACUAAUACUCGACAAUGGACAGCAAAAAAUGAACACAACCAGGAUAUGGUAUAUUCUGAAAGUGAUGCUGUCAAUACAUUAAUCUAUACAAUUGCCCUCCAUUUUAUAGGGAAUACUUCAAUACUUGCAGCACGAACUGCUGAUCUUUUAUCCAAUCUACGAUGUCCUACACUAUCACACUAUAAAUGGUAUAAAGACGUCUUUUUCUCUCGAUUACUCAUACGCGAAGAUAGUCAUCUUGAGCACUGGAAAGAAAAAUUCGUAGCAGGAUUGCCUUAUCUAUUUGCUUAAAAGGUUAAAGAACGUUUAAAAAAUAAAAAUAGUGGUGUAAUUAAUUACUCUUAAUAUACUUUAGGAGAAUUAUCUUCAGAAAUCUGUGCUGAAGGCUUAGCCCUAUGUACAGAUCUGAAACUCAAAAAGCAACUUGAUAAAUAAAAUUUAAGUGGUAAAAAAGAAUUAAGAGAUUUCUGCCAACAAUUUGGCUAUCAUAUGGAUCAAACUCAUAUAGAUAAAACUAAACCACAUAAAAUACAUAAAGUAUAUAAACAGAAAAAACAUCGUAAUAAACUCAAAAAAACAUAUAAGUCUUUUCCAACCAAACAGAAAAAAUAUAGAAAAUUUAUGAAACGUUUUGCUUCCAAAUUAUCCCAACAAAAUAAAAAGAAAUUACCUGUUUGUUAUAAAUGUGGCAAAGUCGGCCAUUAUAAAAGUCAAUGCAAGGUCAAACAAAAACUAGACUCCAUUACAUUAGAUGAGUCUAUCAGAAAUAAAAUUUAUGAUGUUAUUCAAAUAUAUGAUUCGUCUGAUUGUUCCGAUACAGACACUCCUUCCUCAAGUAGUGAUACUUCUUUUAUAGGAACAAUACAUAAUGAUGAUUUUUAUUGGUCAGAUAUUAGUUCGAAUACAGAAGACGAAAUAUGCCAAUGUCCUAUUACAACUUUUGAUAUUCAUACAUUAACAAAAGAAGACAAUCUUAUUUUAGAUUUAAUAGAAAAAAUAUCUGAUCCUGAUGAAAAAAGAGAAAUAAUUAUUCUAUUUAUCAAUUUAACUAAAACAAAAACAAAACAUAUGCCCUUAGUUAAACCUCCUGAUAAUUAUAAUUUUUCUGAUAUCAUGAAACGUAUCAGCCAGCAUGAAGCCACCCAAAAAGAACCUACUAUUGCUGAACUCAAAGCCGAAGUCAAUAUAGUUAAGGUAGAAUUAUCCCAAUUAAAAAAUAGAAUUCAAAUCCUUGAACUUCAUGACAAUACCUCCGAAAUAGAUACUGAGACAGAUGUCAUAGAAUUUAACCAUUUACUCAAAUCAUAUCAUCCCAAUGAUUAUCUAACGAAAUGCGAAUCAUCCACCCGACAAUCAGUAAAUGUUUUAAACCGAGUAAUCACACAAAAAUGGUUUGUGCUAAUAACCAUUGUCAUAAAUGAUGAAUAUGAAUUCCAAUCUCUAGCUUUGGUAGAUUCAGGAGCUGAUCUGAAUUGCCUCAAUGAAGGAUUAGUCCCUACAAAAUACUUUGAUAAAACAACCCAAAUCCUUAAUACUGCAGAUGGCAGUAGACUAUUCAUAAAAUACAAGUUAUCUAAUGCCAAAAUUUUUACUGAAGGACAUUGUUUUCCUACUCCAUUUAUUAUGGUCAAGGGACUCAGCCAAGCUGUAAUCCUUGGCAUACCUUUCCUCACUCUAUUAUAUCCAGUUACUAUUUCCCAUACAGGUAUUGAAACAAAUACUCAUGGUACCCUUAUAAAAUUUUGAAUUUCUUGAUAAACCCAAAAUUAAAGAAAUCAAUACAUUCAAACAAAAUAUCAAACAACAAGAAAAUUUUAUAUGAUCAUUACAACUUGAAAUCAAACAUAAGAUUAUCAGUGAAAAACUUCAAACUAAUGAUAUGAUACAAAAAAUACAACUCAAAAGUUUUAUUGAAAAUGAAAUAUGUAAUGAUUUACCAAACGCCUUUUGGCAUAGAAAACAACAUAUUGUUGGAUUACCAUAUGAACCAAAUUUUAGUGAAACAAAGAUACCAACAAAAGCUAGACCUAUCCAAAUGAACACAGAGUUAUUACAAACUUGUCAUCAUGAAAUAAAAAAUUUACCCCAUAAGAAACUUAUACGUCCUAGUUCAUCUCCCUGGAGCUGCUCUGCUUUCUAUGUCAAUAAAAAUGCUGAGCAAGAACGAGGAGUUCCACGAUUAGUCAUUAAUUAUAAACCCCUCAAUAAAGUCUUACAAUGGAUUAGAUAUCCCAUUCCAAAUAAAAAAGAUUUACUCGAUAGACUCUUACAUGCUGUAAUCUUCUCCAAAUUCUAGUUAAAAUCUGGUUUUUGGCAAAUACAGAUAAAAGAAAAAGAUAAAUAUAAAACAGCAUUUAAUGUCCCUUUUGGGCAAUAUGAAUGGAAUGUUAUGCCUUUCGGUCUUAAAAAUGCUCCAUUUGAAUUCCAAAAAAUAAUGAAUGACAUCUUUAAUCCCUUUUAUAAAUUCAUGAUAGUUUACAUUGAUGAUGUCCUCUUAUUUUAAGAAUCUCUUGAACAACAUUUUAAACAUCUUCAUACUUUCAUCCAUACAGUUAAAAAUGCUGGAUUAGUAGUUUCUGCUAAAAAGAUAAAUCUUUUUCAAACAAAAAUUAGAUUUUUAAGACAAUAUAAAUCAAGAGACCAUUAUAACAAUUGAUAGAUCUAUUCUCUUUGCUGAUAAAUUUCCUGACAAAAUUUUAGACAAAACUAAAUUACAACGAUUUUUAGGAUGUCUCAAUUAUAUAAGUGAUUUUUACCAAAAUCUAGCUCUUGAUGCUAAACCUUUAUAUGACCGAUUAAAGAAGAAUCCUCCACCUUGGACGGAUGUUCAUACCUUGGCUGUACAACGACUUAAACUUAAGGCCAAAGAACUUCCAUGUUUAACUUUAUCUGACCCAACAGCUUCUAAAAUCAUUGAAUGCGAUGCUUCUGAAUUAGGACUCGGUGGUAUAUUAAAACAAUCUAUUAAUUCUAAAGAACAAUUAAUACGAUUUACUUCCAAAGCCUGGAAUCCAACCCAAAAGAAUUAUUCUACUGUCAAAAAAGAAUUACUUGCUAUUAUUCAUUGUGUUUGUAAAUUUCAAACUGAUAUUUUAAACCAACACUUUCUUAUUCGCACCGAUUGUAAAGCAGCCAAAGAUAUUCUGCAAACAGAUGUUCAAAAUCUCGUCUCUACGCAAAUAUUUGCCCGAUGGCAAGCUAUUUUAUCUGCUUUUGAUUUUCCUAUUGAGCAUCUUCACCGUUCUACUAAUUCUUUACCUGACUUUUUAACCCAUGAAUUUUUGCAGGGGGGACCGUACAUAUUAUAAAAGACCACUAAGGACGACACAAUCUCAUCCUACGGCUUUUCCUCUUACGGUUUGCAACUCUUUCUUGAUAAUAAGCAUAACAAUAUGAAUAAUCCUCAGUCUUCAAAUACCAAAAAAGGAAAACAACUUAUGGAAAUAGUACCUAGCAAUAUGUUUGGGCCUCUUAUGCCCAUCCAUUCUUCUUUAAACCUGACACCUAUGUCACCUCUCAGAUCUUCAAAUGUACCUGAAUACUUGUUACAAACUCCUCCUCAAAGUCCAAUACAAACUCCAAGUCCGGCGUUUUCCUCGGCAACAUAUCCAAAUAAACAACCAUUUUCUUCUGCCAAAUCAGUCUAUGUAGACACAGCCUUCCUCUCAGACAUACCUAUUUCUGAUACUCAUGCACAACGUGACGCAAAUAAAAUAGCUCCCCUUGAUCUUAUCAACCAUCUAAAUCCUUCGUAUGGAAUCAAAACUCGUGAAUGGCAUGAAGCCAUUCUCAUGGAAACCGGUUCGGUUUGAAUAGUCCAUUUCUACCAAGGCACAACUAAAGUAUAUGCCUAUUCUAAAUUUCAAAUCAAAAAACUACUUUCUUAUGAUGAUUGGGGAUGCAAUCCCCUUCAAGGGAAAAAAUUAUUAAACCCUGAAUUCCAAUAUAAAUACUAUAAAUAUGCUGAAUAUAUCGAUGCAUGGCACAAAGUGUUCUUUUACCAGAAUCCCAAUAAUACUCAUUCCUGGUAUUUACAAUUCAAACUUCCCAUCCUUGAAAGAUUCCCAAAUUGGUUUCGCCAUUUGUUCUUAAUAUGGGGAUCACAGACUCAAAUUCUACCUGAUAAAUUUCAGGCAUUUCAGACUAAAUUUGUACAAUAUAAUACUUGUACCGACCUAGAAGAUUUCCAUCUUUAUUUCAUGGCAAUCUAUCAGAUACCCUGGAUUCUCAAAUGUGAUUACUCUAUUUCUGAAAAUAAUACUAGCAAUUAUGAGUAUAUUCCCAAGCUUGGCAAAACCCUAAAAAUCAAAUGGUGGGACAUCUUCAGUACUGAUCCUGCCUGCUUAUCCCUGAAACGAAUACCCCUGCAAACCAAUGUAUUAAGCCCACCAGUAUAUAAUACAGUCAGUUUACCCACUUUUUCGGCCUAUCUGAAAAAAAAUGAAGCAAUCACACCCUAAUGCUACAUUAGAAGAAAUAGAGCAAAAUCUAUUCAAAACCCCUGAUACUACUGCACCAGCUACAUCAGAAGAGAGUACAAUCUGGCAAUCCUUUGCUAGACGAUUUUAGCCAGAGACACGAUGAGUAGCUCGGCCCAAUAUCAUCUCAUCCAAAGACAAGAUGUUUUCGCUGCAAAAAUUCGUCUUGUUCCUUACUUUGCAUACAGAAUACGACAAGCUACAUCAAAUAUUCCUCUUUAGCUGAUUUGACUAAAUAAGAGUCAUAUCAUGCACAGUAAAGAUUCCUUUUUCAACUAUCAGAUAAGAUCCCACUAGCAAAUGCUGCGACAAAAAUAUUUCCCUUACAUAAAGCGACAAACAUCUGCAACAGUAAAGAUUCUCUUGACCGAUGUGACUAAUUUCAGGUCAAAUCACCCGCCUGACGUGUCUCCUCCUCCUUCGCUGUUGUUCUCACGUACCGCUCACACAGACCACCUAAGAUUCGCCAUGUCGCCAUCCGUCACCAUCACCGACAUCCAGCUAUCUUCUACACCUACCACGUAGCCCUCUUCGGCAAGAAUCUUAUCUUCGCAUUCCUUCGUCGUCAAGCAAACGAAUAUCAGCCACUAGAGUUUCCUUCGUCACCAAGCAAUCAAUCCCAGCCACAUACUCUCCUCCAACGAUCCUCUAUAAAUACCCAUUCUGCCAACAGAAGAAGGCAGACUGCAUCAAGGAAGAAACAAGCUUUAUCAAGAAGCAAGCUCUCAUAGUUCUUCAUAUUCUCUCUCUUUUCUCUCUUUUCUUCUCACCUUCUUCUUUCAUUCUGUAGACAGUAGGUUAAGCUUUUACAGUCAUCGACACUUGUACACCAUCAAAGUCGGUAACUUCCAUAUGACUUCUUUUUAGAAUGUGUGAUUGUAAUCUAUCUUCUUUACCUUCUUAUUAUCCUUCUGAGUGGAAGAGAUUUGCAAGUCUCUGUAUUUGUAAUCAGUAAGUUAUGCAAUUUAAGUUCGUUUUUACAUUCAAAAUCUACGAUUAUACUCAUACUUCUUGGAUCAUAUUUGAUAUAUCUUGGUUCCCUGUUUUAAUUAUUCUAUUUAUUUUCCUCUUCUAUGUUACGAUUUUACAAUAAUUAUUAGAAUAUAACUCUGUAAUCUUUUCAUAUUUAUUAUAAAAGUAAUAGGUUAGGUUGCGGUUGAGUGUUAUCUGGACAGUCCUCUUUGACUACCUCUUACGUCUUCUUGACCUGAGCGGCUGGCCUAAACGGUCAACUGACUGGGUGUCCUGAGCGUCUCUAACCUCAAUUCUUGGACCAACUUUCUCUAAUGGAUUAAUUUAUUAAGUUUCUUAAGAUAGAACAACUAGUAUUAACUGUUAGAUCUCUAAAACAGGGUUGACUCUGAUACGAUUUUUGCCGCAAGAUCUACCCUAUUACUUUUAUAAUAAAUAUGAAAAGAUUAUAGAGUUAUAUUCUAGUAAUUGUUGUAAAAUCGUAACCUAGAAGAGGAAAACAAAUAGAAUAAUUAAAACAGGGAACCAAGAUAUAUCAAAUAUGAUCCAAGAAGUAUGGAGAUAAUCGCAGAUUUUGAAUGUAAAAACGAACUUAAAUUGCAUAACUUACUGAUUACAAAUACAGAGACUUGCAAAUCUCUUCCACUCAGAAGGAUAAUAAGAAGGUAAAGAAGAUCGAUUACAAUCACACAUUCUAAAAAGAAGUCAUAUGGAAGUUACCGACUUUCAUGGUGUACAAGUGUCGAUGACUGUAAAAGCCUAACCUACUGUCUACAAAAUGAAAGAAGAAGGUGAGAAGAAAAGAGAGAAGAGAGAGAGAAUAUGAGAGAGCAGAGAGAAUAUGAAGAACUAUGAGAG